AGUGAACGCUGGCGGCGUGCUUAACACAUGCAAGUCGAACGAGAACGGGCUAUAGCUUGCUAUAGUUGUCAGCUAAGUGGCGCACAGGUGAGUAAUGUAUAGGUAAUAUGCCUCUUACUAAGGGAUAACAAAUGGAAACGUUUGCUAAUACCUUAUACUCCUUUUAAAAAGAAGUUUAAAAGGGAAAGAUUUAUUGGUAAGAGAUUAGCCUGUAUUAUAUCAGUUAGUUGGUGGGGUAAUGGCUUACCAAGACUAUGACACAUAACUGGUUUGAGAGGAUGAUCAGUCACACUGGAACUGAGACACGGACCAGACUCCUACGGGAGGCAGCAGUGGGGAAUAUUGCACAAUGGACGAAAGUCUGAUGCAGCAACGCCGCGUGGAGGAUGACACAUUUCGGUGCGUAAACUCCUUUUAUAUGAGAAGAUAAUGACGGUAUUAUAUGAAUAAGCACCGGCUAACUCCGUGCCAGCCGCCGCCGUAA
rnacentral:rRNA from 1 species